rnacentral:rRNA from 1 species
UGCGAUACAUGUCAGCGCCAAGCGAAAGCGUUAAGCAUCCCACCUGGGGAGUACGCCGGCAACGUGAAACUCAAAGGAAUUGACGGGGGCCCGCACAAGCGGAGGAACAUGUGUUAUUCGAUGAUACGCGAGGAACCUUACCCGGGCUUGAACUGCAGGAGAACGAUUCAGAGAUGAUGAGUCCUUCGGGACUCCUGUGGAGGUGCUGCAUGGUUGUCGUCAGCUCGUGCCGUGAGGUGUCGGCUUAAGUGCCAUAACGAGCGCAACCCCUUUCUUCAGUUGCCAUCAGGUUAUGCUGGGCACUCUGGAGACACUGCCACCGUAAGGUGUGAGGAAGGUGGGGAUGACGUCAAAUCAGCACGGCCCUUACGUCCGGGGCUACACACGUGUUACAAUGGGUGGUACAGAGAGCGGGCUGCCUGCAAAGUCAGCCGAAUCAUGAAAGCCAUCCUCAGUUCGGAUUGGGGUCUGCAACCCGACCCCAUGAAGCUGGAUUCGCUAGUAAUCGCGCAUCAGCCAUGGCGCGGUGAAUACGUUCCCGGGCCUUGUACACACCGCCCGUCAAGCCAUGAAAGCCGGGGGCGCCUGAAGUCCGUGACCGCGAGGGUCGGCCUAGGGUGAAACCGGUGAUUGGGGCU